AUCUUAAUUAGCUAUUUCAUUUUCAACGUAAACAUUUCAAGGAACUCCAAAAGUUGCUUAUGGUUAAUUGACAAAGGGUUGGAGUAUCAAAGACCAAGAAUUACUCCCGAGAAUCAGGCCAAUAGCGAUCCAAGUUAGAAAUUUGAGGAAAUUAGUAAAAGCCAAUUCGCUAGGUGAGCCCAAAGCGAGCCAAAUCAGCGAGUUAAAAGGUGGAUUGCAAGAGUUGAUUCACUAAGCAAGCAUCGAUUCACUUUAAGGCAACAUUAGUGACAUGUUGUAUUAGUUGGAAAUUACUUCACAUUGAAGAAACCUCAGCGAGCACCUGUUCGCUUAGCAAAUCUUCCCUUUUAUGCAAAGCAUAUAAAGCAACUCAGAAACCAAAUUUGGGCAUUCUUACACUUCUGGAAGGAAACAUAGAUAAAGGCACAUAGUAGAGAAUGGUGAGCAAACAAGGUUGGGGAGGCUUGGAAGCUUGGACAUCAAGAUUUCAUGUUAUUUCAGCUCAUUCUCACUUCUUUGUACUAGAUAACAUGGGUAUCUGUAGCUAAAUUUCCUCGGUCAAAACUCUCUUAUUUGACCAGAACACCUUAAUGUCUUAGGUGAGUUUGUUCCCAUUGAAAGUUUGAUUGAACGUUAAAACUAUGCAUCAAAAUUCUA
rnacentral:lncRNA from 1 species